rnacentral:rRNA from 1 species
ACGAACGCUGGCGGCGUGCUUAACACCUGCAAGUCGAACGGGAUUUAGUAGACAGAAGCCUCGGCUAAAGAUUACUAAUGAGAGUGGCGAACGGGUGAGUAACGCGUGAGCAACCUGCCUAUGACAGUGGGAUAGCCUCGGGAAACCGGGAUUAAUACCGCAUAAAAUCGUAGAAACACAUGUUUUAACGGUCAAAGAUUUAUCGGUCAUAGAUGGGCUCGCGUCUGAUUAGCUAGUUGGUGAGAUAACAGCCCACCAAGGCGACGAUCAGUAGCCGGUCUGAGAGGAUGAACGGCCACAUUGGAACUGAGACACGGUCCAAACUCCUACGGGAGGCAGCAGUGGGGAAUAUUGCACAAUGGGGGAAACCCUGAUGCAGCGACGCCGCGUGAACGAAGAAGGUAUUCGUAUCGUAAAGUUCUGUCCUAUGGGAAGAUAAUGACAGUACCAUAGAAGAAAGCUCCGGCUAAAUACGUG